GUGUGUGGUUCUCCCGUGGCUCCUGGUGUAUUAGUUUCCCCCAGUUGAAUUUGCAUUGUUUUGUAUCACCUUUACUUCUGCUCAGCAAAUAAAGCUGCAUUUUUGAGUCAAGUUCCCAUUUUGAGCUCUAUCCAGGAGAAAGGGACUGCUGCCAAGAGCACGAUGAAAGGCUGCAUAAUUUUGUCUCCGGGUUAUAAACCACACCGCCUGUUCCUUUGUCUCUCUUCCCUGAGGUCUGGUGUGUGAGCAGGUAAGUCUUACUACAGCUAUGAGGUCAUGCAACCGGCUUCGACUGGAUCUCUGGCUAGCACACCUGCUCUCCCUCGGCUUAUCAGCCAGCUGCAUAUUUAAGAGUCGUUCACUCAACAUCAGGUUAUACUGCUUCAGUAGUGCUAACAGCUUCCAGCCCAGCUUAGCGUCUUUGCGUCUGGUCUCCUCUUUAAUAUUCUCCAGUGGGCUCAGCUCUGGAACAGCCCCCUCUGCUGCACUCCAUCCAUCAUCAACAAAGUUCUCCCACUAGUUUUGUUCUUCAUCUGUAUGCUAAACGAUUCCAGUAACUUAUCACGUAAUUGUUAUAGGGUAACUGUCUGUUUAUGACUUUGUAAAUUAUCUAAACCUUCACUGUCACAUUUGCAGGUAGAAAAAAGCAGUAUCACCUGCUCUAUAAGAUUUUGCCACAAAAUGUAUUGCUAUAAUGUGUUAAGUGUAUUUUUAAUUCCUCUUGAAGAUGUAGUGCUAUCUCGUGAAAUUCAGUGUGUAUCGAUUACAUUUUUCAUGUAAAUUACCAAACCUUGCUCUUCAGUUUAUGAGCUACGGAAGAAUGUCCUCUUUUUUUUUUUUUUGUCUCUCAUAAAAUU